rnacentral:lncRNA from 1 species
UUGAUCAUCAUGCGGAAAGGAACCUUAUCUUUAAAAUUUAUUUGAAUAGACAAUUACAAAUCUUUUAAUAUUCUUUCUGAGUACGGCGAAGAUUAAUUUUUCUCAACCUAGUUAUUUAUAAUCUGGGUGCCUCCCUUGCCCCUUGACUGUACUAAAUUAAAGUUUAAAAUGAAAAAAAAAAUCCACAACAAUUAGGAUUUUUGGCAUGAAUAAAGCUAAAUAGAAAAACUAAAAAAA